UUUUUUUUACCCAUUUGCUACGUGGUGCUAUCAGUUUAACCACCGCUUCCCCCACUCGACAAGCGAAUCAUAUAUUUCGAUUGGUGUCAUCGGUUCUUCCAAGAAUGAGUGCUUCUUCUCACCGCUUCUCUUACCUUCUGCUUAAAUCCUAAAUGUGUGUUUAACACAUCUACUUUCCUUCCCGUUCUUCUCACCGCCUUCAUUGUUGUAUUGUUGGAAAAGCCUGGUGGAUUUAUAUGAUCUUCAUUUCUUCUCGAUGAUAUCCACCGCCAUUAGCUCCACCAUCUUCUACUUUCUGUUCUUCGUUUUAUCGCUUCAUUUUCAUUUUUGAUUUGCUGUUUGAUUAUUUGGUGUUUUGUACCUCUUGAUCCGUCCUCACCUCUCUCUUCUCUUUAACUCUCUUUUCCCAUGGCUCAUCCCUCCAACUUCUGGAACUUUUGUGUACCGCCCCAUUACUAUUGCUUUCGUUUUGUCGGCGUUUCCCCCCACCCCCCAUUGACGAUGCCGAUGCUCACGAAACGCCUCUAUGGGUAUCAAGGUGGACGAUGGGUUGCUUUCUCCCCCAAUUUCUAGGGGUAUCGUUCGAUUGGGAUAUGGGAGCAACACAAGUGCUGAAGAGUAUCUCCUGGAUGAAGUUAUCGAUUGGAGCUUCUGAUUUUUCAAUUACAUAAAGGACGUCAACCCUAUUAUCGUUUCUUCUUACUCCCCCCAUCUUUGGUUAAGUUGGAUUUGGGUGUUUUAUAAGAGGUGGAUUCAUUCUGCAAAUACAUAAGAAGGUGGGUUUACUGCUCUUUGACAACUUUUCUAAAACACUAAUGGAAAUUUGUAAGACAGGCCUUUUGUAUUUGAAGGUUUCUUCGAUGUCUGUUUCUUUCCAUGAAUGCAACAACGACUUCCCAAAUGCACACAUCCUUUGCCUGGAACUGAAUCUGAUUCACAUGUUUCUUUUUGCACUUAUGAUAUCAGACCAUGUUGUUUACAUUUUUUUGUCUCUCAUCACAUAUUCUAGGUUUCCAACUAUUUGUUUCCAUUUUGUCGUAAAUCAAAUUAUAAAUUCAAAGAGGUAAAUAUGUCAUGGUUUUCCUUGACAAGAAAUGGAAUGGAAUUUAAUUCCAUUCCAUUAGGGAAGGAUUUAUUUUGGUCAAAAUUUCAUACUUUAUUAAUAAUCAAAUUAGUAUGACUCGAUAUCUUUAUGUGUAGGUUGGAAAUAGAUUAGAAGAAUAUAAACCAACAUAACCGAGAAGCCAAGAUCGAUCAUUCAGCUAUUUUUCUUUAUUUUGGUUUUGUUUUUUGUUAGGUGGAUUGCAGAUAGAUUGAAGAGGGUUAAGUAAUUCCCCGAAGAGCAACUUGAAGAACAAAAGGAAAAGCACACUGGUUGUUCUUGGAUUGGGGCUGGUGACAAUUUUUUGUUCGAGCCAAGGCUGCAACUGAUCCAACAGCUGAUAAUGGUGGCAGCAAUGAUGCAGCUUGAAGCGUAUCUUUCUGCUCAAUUUGGGGUAGACAUUUUAUGGAUAAGAUAAAGAUGAGAAUAAGUAAAGCAUCAAAAGAGUCGAUGAAAGUAUCCUUUUUCACUAAAGCCCACUCCGCUAAAUAAGGACCAACAAAUUUGGAGGCAUGUGAAGAUAGUUAUGUGAUUAACAUCCUAACAGUGUUUCUGAGGGUUUUGUAUAUUGCACCAUGUUGAAGCAGAAAGUGUGGCACAAGAUUAUGUACUACCACUUGAAAUCUUCAAGAAAAUUGAUGUUAUAAAAUGUAAUGAACUUCACCUUUUGCAUAACAUAUCAAUGUAGCAUGUAUCCAAUAUUAAAUAAAUAACCAAACUAUCUAUCGUUUCCUACUC